rnacentral:rRNA from 1 species
UACGGAGGAUGCGAGCGUUAUCCGGAUUCAUUGGGUUUAAAGGGUGCGUAGGCGGACUGAUAAGUCAGUGGUGAAAACCUGCAGCUUAACUGUAGAAUUGCCAUUGAUACUGUCGGUCUUGAGUUCGGUUAAGGUAGGCGGAAUGUGUAAUGUAGCGGUGAAAUGCUUAGAUAUUACACAGAACACCGAUUGCGAAGGCAGCUUGCUGGACCGAUACUGACGCUGAUGCACGAAAGCGUGGGGAGCGAACAGG